CGGGGUAUGGCGCAGUGUGGUAGCGCAUCUGCUUUGGGAGCAGAGGGUCGGGGGUUCAAAUCCCUCUGCCCCGACCA
rnacentral:tRNA from 1 species